GCAGGUGUAGUUCAGUGGUAGAACUCCAGCCCUCCAAGCUGGUCAUGCGGGUUCGAUUCCCGUCACCUGCUCCA
rnacentral:tRNA from 1 species